rnacentral:rRNA from 1 species
UACGUAGGGGGCAAGCGUUGUCCGGAAUCAUUGGGCGUAAAGAGCGUGUAGGCGGCUCGGUAAGUCCGCUGUGAAAGUCCAGGGCUCAACCCUGGAAUGCCGGUGGAAACUGUCGGGCUAGAGUCCGGAAGAGGCGAGUGGAAUUCCUGGUGUAGCGGUGGAAAUGCGCAGAUAUCAGGAGGAACACCAAUGGCGAAGGCAGCUCGCUGGGACGGUACUGACGCUGAGACGCGAAAGCGUGGGGGAGCAAACAGG